rnacentral:rRNA from 1 species
UCGGGAAUUUUGGGCAAUGGGCGAAAGCCUGACCCAGCAACGCCGCGUGAGGGAUGAAGUAUUUCGGUAUGUAAACCUCGAAAGAAUGGGAAGAAUAAAUGACGGUACCAUUUAUAAGCUCCGGCUAACUACGUACCAGCAGCCGCGGUAAUACGUAGGGAGCAAGCGUUGUUCGGAUCUACUGGGCGUAAAGGGCGCGUAGGCGGCGCGGUAAGUCACUUGUGAAAUCUCUGAGCUUAACUCAGAACGGCCAAGUGAUACUGCUGUGCUAGAGUGCGGAAGAGGCAACCGGAAUUCUUGGUGUAGCGGUGAAAUGCGUAGAUAUCAAGAGGAACACCUGAGGCGAAGGCGGGUUGCUGGGCCGACACUGACGCUGAUGCGCGAAAGCCAGGGGAGCAAACG